ACCCUCCGUUAGCAAAGACAGGUGCUUUUGUGACGCCCGAGGCGCCUGCAGCAGGGUAAACGUUUACCCUGGAGAAACCUGUGUUUAGCCUGAUAACUCCCCUGCAGUUGGGGAGAAGAGAUGAAUGGUUGAGGAGAUAGGGACAGGGGGAGGGCACAGGUGGAGCUUCUUAAAGCUUCCUUUUAAAGUGCGUCCUGCGGCGUGAAUGGAUGGGAUGUCUGUACAUCUGACAGAUCACUGGAAGACAGAGAGCAAAAGAAGUAGAGAGCCACUUGUCCAGCCGUGGUGUGAAGGUUUGGGUGAGACCGAUGGGGCCGUGUGGUGCUGGGACAUCCACAGGCACUGACUUCAGCAGGAUCAGUGCUGGCCUAAGAGCAUGUCACAAAACCACGUGUGGGGUGGAAGCGAAGAGUUAGGGAGCAACAGCCUGGAGUUUCAAGGGCAAAUGACAGCAGAAGAGAGCAUCUGCUGCGUCAUCUGUAAUGUCUGGGCAGCGCUGCUCAGAGUCUAGAAUUAAACCAAAAGGAUGUGGGUCUUACUGGCAGUUUAAGUAUCUCAUUCAUAGAGGAAAUGGUGUCUCAUUCAUACAGUUAUGAGAAGCGACUCAGCUUCUCCAUCUGUAAGUAAAAGGCAAAUUUCCUGUAAUGCUGUUCCCUGCAGCAUCUCGGCUUCCUAGGCUAACACCCAAGUGCUGAUGAGAUCUGGUUAUGUCUCAAUUGAACUUUGUGGCAGUUUGACUUCAUUUGGGGAUCUUCCUGAUGUAAUUUGGGAUCUGCCUGAUGUCUUUUACUCUUGGAGAGAAUCGAAUGAAGUGUUUCGAACAAUUCAUGUAGGAAAAGAUUUUCCUUGGUUGCUGCACCUGAGGUUUGCUCAAAGGCAGCAAGAUCUCGGAGCUGGCCAUGCCCCAGUGCGAUGUCUGCCUGAGGGACAGCAAACGGAGUGCAGUGACCCUCAGCCCAGCACUUGCUGUGAUCUGCGUGCCCGCAGGGCUGCUCUGAGGACAUCUGGAGCUCAGUGCGGACCUCUUAAGCAUCCAUCGAGAUGAGCACGGAUAUUGGUGGAGACUUCAGCCUGCAGCACUCUCGCGGCUCUCAGCAACAGGGAUAGCACACGAGGGGGAGAGAAAGCACCAAAGGGAUUUUUUUCAUUGAUUUCCAACUCUCAGCCUCCCAGUUUGGAAAUUUGAUCAAAAUACUGAAAGUUGAGAAUAAUGCCAUCAGCUGUAUGCACGAGAUGAGGACUCUAGUAAGAUACUUGAAUCCAUGUUGAAAACCCCAAAUUAUUCUUUCCAGAGCCCGGUGGAAAUGAAACAUACGAAAAAUAAAAUGAAAGCAUCUGAUAUUUUUGAAGUGAAACAUUUCCACUCAUCAGUUUGGAACAACUUUUAUAUUUAAAGGCUUGUUAAAUUUCCUGUUAAGAAACCACACGCAGAUCUUAAAAUCUAUCAUUGAAAAAUAAUAACCAGCUCCAUUCUGGGUCAAAUAAAUGUUUCAGUAAGAAAACACAGAGGUAAAGUUGUUUCUUUUUGUUAGAGUAAAAGACUUAGCUCGGCUAAAAAAACACGUCUGCCAAAGGCUUGCUUGGUGCCCCUAUUGCACAGGUCUGCACCUUUUCUCCCAAAUUUUAAGCCCAGCCAAGGCAGCCUCUGCUACUGCCGCGCCUCCAGACAACUGCCAGUGAGGUGAUGCAUCACUGGGUAAGAUAGACAGCGGGCUGAAAUUGGCAGUUUGAUUUACUGAAAUAGUUUCAAAUCAAUUGUUCUGCUAUUCAACUAAUUCUUGAUUGCAGUGUUACAUGGAUCAGAAAGGCACGGAAUAAAUUAUAAGCUUUGCUACAUGUUCCAGGCUCUCCAUUUCAGUAAUCACAUUGCAGCUGGCCCCACAUCACCAAGUAAGAGCUAAGAUCAAACAAUGAUACCGGACACGAAAUAUCUUCUCAGGUUUAAUACCGUAAUUGCUCUGUUUUCAGGGCUUGAAAUGCCUCUUCAGUGGGCAAAUGUGAGUCAUCUGCCCCUGGGCACAGCUAGUUGGAUACAUUUCAGCAGUACUUUUGAAGAACAGAUCAAUUUAGAAGGGAUAUUGUAACCUGGGAACCAGCCAAGAGACUUCUUCUAUCUGUGAUUGUGCUUGACACUCGUAAUGAAACAAAAUUCAGAUCACCGCAAUAAAUUUGCAAACAGUGAGUCUUCCAAAAGAAAAAAUGCUUAGCAUUUCCCACAAGACCCUACAAAUUCAAUCUGCAUAAGCUCCAAAAUAAGUGUAUUUUCUACCUUAAACUAAUACUUGGCAGGAACUUUCAAUUGGCUCAUUUAAUUAAGCUGGUGUGCAGAUCCCAUUUUAAUGUAUUUAAUGCUGCUAAAAUGACAGGCAUAC